rnacentral:rRNA from 1 species
AACGCGAAGAACCUUACCUGGACUAGAAUGUGAGGGAAUGUUGGGUAAUACCAUCAGUCUGGGAAACCAGACCCAAAACAAGGUGCUGCAUGGCUGCCGUCAGCUCGUGUCGUGAGAUGUUGGGUUAAGUCCCGCAACGAGCGCAACCCUUAUCAACAGUUGCCAUCAUUAAGUUGGGAACUCUGUUGAGACUGCCGUUGAUAAAACGGAGGAAGGUGGGGAUGAUGUCAAGUCAUCAUGGCCUUUAUGUUCAGGGCUACACACGUGCUACAAUGGCCGGUACAAAACGUCGCAAUCUCGCGAGAGUAUGCUAAUCCCAAAAAGCUGCCUCAGUUCGGAUUGUACUCUGCAACUCGAGUACAUGAAGCUGGAAUCGCUAGUAAUCGCGGAUCAGCACGCCGCGGUGAAUACGUUCCCGGGUCUUGUACACACCG